rnacentral:tRNA from 1 species
GCGGGAUUCGUAUAGUGGCAGUACGUGACCUUCCCAAGGUUAAGGCGCCAGUUCGAUUCUGGUAUCCCGCUCCG